rnacentral:tRNA from 1 species
GGGAGCGUGGCGCAAGUAGACGCAAGAGUUGAAACACUUGCCGGGUGCUGAGUACAAGAAAUAAAGCCACGAACCCGGCGUGCAGGUAUCAAAUCCUGUCGCUCCCA